rnacentral:lncRNA from 1 species
GGGCAUCCUUGUCAUUUCCAUCAUUUUACUUGCCUAUAAAUAGAGACUCGAACUCAUUUGUUUAAUAAUCCAAACUUAGAGCAGAUGCAAACUUAGAGCAAACUUAGUUUCACUUAGGCAUAUAUUCAGUAUUUUAAAGUGGUAAUCGCUUCGCAUUGGGGUGUUACCACAAUUGUGUAAUCAAGUCUGUAUUCGAGUCUAUAAUCGAGUUUGGAG